UUAUUUUUGUCCACUCAUGCUAACGUUUUUCGUCUACUUUCCCCUAUGCCUUUUUGUUUCUAAUGCCCAGUUUGCAGGCGUUAUUAGUUGAGAUCUGGCGUACAUGGUUCGAGGCAUAAUUGACGAAUAACUUCCGCACUUCUUCUUUUGGCUCUGAUCUAUUGUGGGUUAAUGUUUUGGGUAGUCCACUUUAGGGGUGACUAGACUAAUUCUCGGUAGAGUUAUCUCUAAGGUGGACCCCACAGAGUCACCUCGGAUUUCAGGGUGAAAUCCUGGGGCGGGUCCUGUCACCACUCGCACUCAAACCCUCACUGCCAUAAGCGGCCACCCAACGAAACCUUGGCGCAGAAGAAUUGUAAAUCGAUUCGCUGCCGCAGCGCCACCUCCAAGGCCCAAAUAUACUCUGAUGUCUACGUCAUCCACCCCAAGGAGUACUAGGACUAUGAGACCAUUGUCCAAUGGGGGGAGCCAGAUGAACAGUGAGGCAAAAAUCUGUGAAGGGUCAAUGGGUUGAGCUCGGCUUCCACCUCCUCAACCCCUGCAUCGGUCAAUGGGUCGCUGGAAUCCUCACCACGACUUCACUGAAUCCAAUCCCUCGAUGUCAAAAUCGAGACCAAAACCAAGGAUACUCAACUUGUGUACAAGCAUUUAAGGUAAGGUAUUAGUGUAUACACAAGGAUAAACAACGUGGUUAAAGAAUUGGAUUGGCGGGUUCUGCUACGCCUCAUUGAUCAGUGGGCUGGCGUUAAGGUAAGGCGAUUUGCUUUGUUUGUACCUGGCUGAUCUCAAAGAAUGCAUACACAAGGAUAAUUUACUCUGCGGUUAAAGAAUUGGAUUGUUGGGCUGGCAUUAAAGUAAGGUUCCUCAAUUGGUCACACUUAACACUCAGACUCUGGUCUUUCUCUUCCUCUCAAGCUCAGCAGAAUUGCUCAUUCGAGAACUUUCAUUUCAUCAGCUGAAUGCCAAUUUACUCUGGCCGAGGACAUUUACAAUUGCAGAAUGGUUAGUUCAAAAUAAGCCAUUCUAUUGAGCUGGGCAGGUAUUUCUCAAAGCUUUCACAUCCAUCUGUUAGUGGAAUCAUCUACUCAUGGCCAGGUAUUUGUUAGUGUCUCAUUUUUUGUUUCAUUUUCUUCUUCCAAAAUCAAUUUGAGUUAGUCAUAGAGAUCUGAGCAAAAUGCGAGCCCUUGGGAGUCCCACUAUCAGCUUCAGAGCAAACACUGGCUGCAAUCAUUUGCUUAAAGUGCUUCAGAUCUUUCUCUUUUCUUCCACUUACUGUUUUCUUCCACUUACUGUUUUCUGGUGAAUUGCAAUUUAAGUUUGCUGCUCUUUUGUAUACUUAUGAUGACAUUUUAACUCAUAAGAAAGGCGUAGUGUUACAUGCAAUUUAACUAUUAGUUACAUGCAGUUGCUCUUUUUUCCCUAUUCUCAUUAGCCUUGCUUUUAAGGUUGAGCAUGAAAGGCGUAGUGUUACUCUUCUUCAUUUUUAUGCUAUAUAUUGCGUAGAAGAAAAUUUGUUUGGAAGCAACUUUGGCCUAGAUGAUAUACAGGUUCUCAGAAGUAGUUGUUGGUUUUGAGUUGAACAAAGUAACAAUUGUGAAAAUGGUGCAAAAGUUAAGGGAUUAUGCAAGAAAUCUAGUGGAGAUAUAAGCAAGAGAAGAUGUUGGGAAAGUUCUAAUCCACAUGAAGGAUCGGAAACAAACUUUUCCUUAAAUUUUCUUGUCUUUUUUCCUGGUGAUUAAUAUUGCUUAUGUCUUUGUUAACAUUUUUCAGGCUUUCAACAAUCUUCAAUUAUGACAGUGAUUCAAUGUCUAGGGUAUGGACUGGGAAGGAAGACAUUAGAACCAUAACCAAGGAUGCUCGCUUUGCGGUAAUGAUCCAAAACUCGAGAAGCAACAUAAAUGAGUUGGAGUGGAGUCUUAGAGCUCGAGAAGCAAGGUUAUUCCUAGUCUUUUUUCAUAUGACACAAGGACUAUGCCGAUAUAUGACAGUGAAGACUGGGAAGGAAGGCUUUAGAAUCAUAACCAAGGAUGCCCGCUCUGGUGUAAUGCCUAAAGCUCAAGAAGCAACAUAAAUGAGUUGGAGUGGGAUUUUAGAGCUCCAUAAGCAAGUACUAUGGAUUACCUCCUUUCAGCAUGUGAGCUACCAAGUUUGAUUCAUGGGUCUAGCUAGCAGCUAGGAAUAGCUAGGGAUGCUUUUGAUUCAUGUGUAGGUAGCAGCUAGGAAUGCGUUCUUUUUUGAUAUAUUAUCUAGUAACUUGAAUGUUUGGAUGUUUGAAAAAUGAUACUUGAAUGAUAUGGAUUAGAGUGUGAUUUUAUA